AUUGAACGCUGGCGGCAGGCCUAACACUUGCAAGUCGAGCGGAUGAAGAGAGCUUGCUCUCUGAUUUAGCGGCGGACGGGUGAGUAAUGCCUAGGAAUCUGCCUGGUAGUGGGGGAUAACGUUCCGAAAGGAACGCUAAUACCGCGUACGUUCUACGGGAGAAAGCAGGGGACCUUCGGGCCUUGCGCUAUCAGAUGAGCCUAGGUCGGAUUAGCUAGUUGGGGAGGUAAUGGUUCACCCAGGCGACGAUCCGUAACUGGUCUGAGAGGAUGAUCAGUCACACUGGAACUGAGACACGGUCCAGACUCCUACGGGAGGCAGCAGUGGGGAAUAUUGGACAAUGGGCGAAAGCCUGAUCCAGCCAUGCCGCGUGUGUGAAGAAGGUCUUCGGAUUGUAAAGCACUUUAAGUUGGGAGGAAGGGCAGUAAGUUAAUACCUUGCUGUUUUGACGUUACCGACAGAAUAAGCACCGGCUAACUUCGUGCCAGCCGCCGCCGUAAAAC
rnacentral:rRNA from 1 species